AGGUCACACCUGUUCCCAUACCGAACACAGCAGUUAAGCUCAGUAGCGCCAAAAGUAGUUGGAGGAUCGCCUCCUGUGAGGAUAGGAC
rnacentral:rRNA from 1 species